UAGGGAAUAUUGGACAAUGGGCGCAAGCCUGACAGAGCGACGCCGCGUGCGGGAUGAAGGCCCUCGGGUUGUAAACCGCUGUCACUCGUUAAGAAAGCCUGGGGUAGGCCUCCAGGCUGACGUUAGCGAGAGAGGAAGUCACGGCUAACUUCGUG
rnacentral:rRNA from 1 species